rnacentral:rRNA from 1 species
AUUGAACGCUGGCGGCAUGCCUUACACAUGCAAGUCGAACGGCAGCGGACCUUCGGGUGCCGGCGAGUGGCGAACGGGUGAGUAAUGCAUCGGAACGUGCCAUUGAGUGGGGGGAUAACGUAGCGAAAGUUGCGCUAAUACCGCAUAUUCUGUGAGCAGGAAAGCAGGGGACCGCAAGGCCUUGCGCUCUUUGAGCGGCCGAUGUCAGAUUAGCUAGUUGGUGAGGUAACGGCUUACCAAGGCGACGAUCUGUAGCGGGUCUGAGAGGAUGAUCCGCCACACUGGAACUGAGACACGGUCCAGACUCCUACGGGAGGCAGCAGUGGGGAAUUUUGGACAAUGGGGGCAACCCUGAUCCAGCCAUGCCGCGUGAGUGAAGAAGGCC